rnacentral:rRNA from 1 species
GGAGUUAGCCGGUGCUUCUUCUGCGAGUAACGUCACAGAUGUAAGGUAUUAACUUACACCCUUUCCUCCUCGCUGAAAGUGCUUUACAACCCGAAGGCCUUCUUCACACACGCGGCAUGGCUGCAUCAGGGUUUCCCCCAUUGUGCAAUAUUCCCCACUGCUGCCUCCCGUAGGAGUCUGGGCCGUGUCUCAGUCCCAGUGUGGCUGAUCAUCCUCUCAGACCAGCUAGGGAUCGUCGCCUAGGUGAGCCUUUACCUCACCUACUAGCUAAUCCCACCUGGGCUUAUCCAUCAGCGCAAGGCCCGAAGGUCCCCUGCUUUCCCCCGUAGGGCGUAUGCGGUAUUAGCAGUCGUUUCCAACUGUUAUCCCCCACAAAUGGGCAAAUUCCCAGGCAUUACUCACCCGUCCGCCGCUCGUCAUCUUCAAAAGCAAGCUUUUGAAAUGUUACCGCUCGACUUGCAUGUGUUAGGCCUGCCGCCAGCGUUCAAUCUGAGCCAUGAUCAAACUACUGA